rnacentral:lncRNA from 1 species
CCAGGAGUUGCAGGUCAAGCUGAGAGUAUACCUACAGAUAUCAUGCAUAGUUGGGAUUCUUGGGUUCAAGCAUAACACCGAGUCACUGCCGAUCCCUGAGCCCUGGAAGUGGAAGCCAACACAGAGGGACAAUGCUCCUCUACCAUCUGCCAAAGGCUCUCAGCUGUAGCCAACGCUGGCUUUGCGUGGCAGCACAGAAGGAAUUAAUGCUCUGAAGCAGCCAACGCUGGCAGCACGCCAGCACGU